rnacentral:lncRNA from 1 species
CUCCGGGUCCCGCCGGCAGCCCCAGCGCCCCCUGCUCUGCUUGCUCCAGCCAGGCCUGUCGGCCCCCGGGUACCACUCGUCUCCUGGGCCAAGCUUUCAGCGUGGCUGCGGCCGGGGAGACGCGAUAGGAACCCUUCAUUCACUCCCGGGGCCACCCGGGGUGGAGAGGGCUGCAAAAGCCCUGAGCCCGUAGGGCUUGUGCUCCUGGCCAAGAGAGGCCCGCGAGUGAAUCAGUAGAAUGUGCAGCAUGUCGGAUGAGUGAGGACAAAAGCGGGGACGGGCCUGAAGCAGACGGCUAGGAGGGUUGCUGAGAAGGUGAUUUUUCAGUCAAGACUCAGAACGUGAGGCAACAAGCCAGUGCCUGGGGGUGUUGGGGGCAGCGGGGCAUGAAGGCCAGAGUGGCUGGAGCAGACGAAUCCUUUGAUGAUGGCUCGGUGUUGAGCAGUGCCAGGCCGCGUGCUGGGUGCUCUAUGCGCCUUAUUUCCUGGGCACUACCUUUAUCCGAGAGGAAAUCAGGCUCAGGCAGGCUAAAUAACUGGCCCAAUGUCACACAGCGUUGGAGCCCAAGGAGACCGUGUCCUUGCCUGAAACACACCCAGGAGACCCGAGGAGCAUUCAGGAUACUCUCCUGGGCAGAGGCUUUUUGGUUCUCUGGAGUCUCCUCUCUGCUCCAACAGCUGGGAUACACACCACCCCUACCCCCACCCCCACUGCCCCCAAGCAGGCUGGGACCUCAAAGACCAACCAGGGCUGAAAAGGCCAUCAGGUUCGUCCAUCCCCCGCUCCUGGCAUAUUUGCGUAGAGGAAAAGUCCUCAAAUUAAGUUUGAGGCCCUAGACUUCUUUUCAGGCCCCAUCUCCAAUUCUCUGUACGUCCUUGGGGAAGUUCAUUAGCUUUCUCUCACCUCCUUCAGGUCCCCCCAUCUGUGGGAGCAGAAUUCUCCUAUGACCCCCCCCCAGUGACCUUUGCCCUCGUGGACUCCCUCUCAUUGAUAGUGGGCAGAAUCUGGAUACCUGACUAGUAUCCACGAGGACAUGGGUUCGAUCCCUGGCCUCGCUCAGUGGGUUAAGGAUCCGGCAUUGCUGUGGCUGUGGUGUAGGCCGGCAGCUACAGCUCCAACUGGCCCCCUAGCCUGGGAACCUCCAUAUGCCACGGGUGUGGCCCUAAAAAAAAAGAAAAGACGAAAGAGGGUGGGUGGCAUCUGAAUAAAUAUGUCGUUCCUGUGAUGAUGUUCUUACUU